UAGAGUUUGAUCCUGGCUCAGAUUGAACGCUGGCGGUAUGCUUAACACAUGCAAGUCGAACGGCAGCGUGGUAAAGAUUUCGGUUUUUACUGAUGGCGAGUGGCGGACGGGUGAGUAAUGGGUAGGAAUCUACCCUAAAGAAUGGGAUAACAAGCGGAAACGCGUGCUAAUACCAUAUAAUAUCGAGAGAUCAAAGCAGGGGACCGUUAUUGGCCUUGCGCUUUAGGAUGAGCCUACGUCGGAUUAGCUAGUUGGUGGGGUAAAGGCCUACCAAGGCGACGAUCCGUAGCUGGUCUGAGAGGAUGACCAGCCACACUGGGACUGAGACACGGCCCAGACUCCUACGGGAGGCAGCAGUGGGGAAUUUUGGACAAUGGGGGCAACCCUGAUCCAGCGAUACCGCGUGUGUGAAGAAGGCCUUUGGGUUGUAAAGCACUUUAGGUGGGGAAGAAAGUUGUACGAAGAAUACGCGUACGAUGUGACGGUACCCACAGAAUAAGCACCGGCUAACUCUGUGCCAGCAGCCGCGGUAAUACAGAGGGUGCGAGCGUUAAUCAGAAU
rnacentral:rRNA from 1 species